UAAGAUUUCAAUUAUUAGGACAAAACAUGAAAGAGGUAUCAACACCUCCAAUUCUCCUCCUAUACGGAACCUCUUGUUGGGAUAACUAGGAUAUCUUUAUCCCUUAUCCUUGAAAAUUCAAAUGGAUUGUGCUCGUAGACUAUUCUUUAUUCUGUUUUUAUGUGUAAACUCUUAUAUAAACCCUCUUUCUACCCUUAUAAAAUUAAUUAUACAGAUUUCAAAACAAUUCCUUUCAAUUCUAAUCCUUGACACCUCUCUCUUCUGGCAGCUAUAUAUAUUUCUAGAGCUCUAUCACCGACUGAUA
rnacentral:misc_RNA from 1 species